GAUGAACGCUGGCGGCGUGCUUAACACAUGCAAGUCGAACGAAGCACUUUAUUUGAUUUCCUUCGGGACUGAUUAUUUUGUGACUGAGUGGCGGACGGGUGAGUAACGCGUGGGUAACCUGCCUUGUACAGGGGGAUAACAGUUGGAAACGGCUGCUAAUACCGCAUAAGCGCACAGCAUCGCAUGAUGCAGUGUGAAAAACUCCGGGGGUAUAAGAUGGACCCGCGUUGGAUUAGCUAGUUGGGGAGGUAACGGCCCACCAAGGCGACGAUCCAUAGCCGACCUGAGAAGGUGACCGGCCACAUUGGGACUGAGACACGGCCCAAACUCCUACGGGAGGCAGCAGUGGGGAAUAUUGCACAAUGGGCGAAAGCCUGAUGCAGCGACGCCGCGUGAGCGAAGAAGUAUUUCGGUAUGUAAAGCUCUAUCAGCAGGGAAGAUAAUGACGGUACCUGACUAAGAAGCACCGGCUAAAUACGUG
rnacentral:rRNA from 1 species